rnacentral:ncRNA from 1 species
UUAAAAGCGUUGAAGGGAAAUAGUAGAUAUUUAAGGUAUACAGAGAGGAAGUCCUAGGCUGAGAGAUUUCUAACCCAAUGAAUAUUGAACCCAUCCCAGAGCUUCUAGACGGGAAAAUAAAAGUCUAGACGGUUUUUUACCGUUAUUUAUUUCGAGUGGAUUAUAUAUUUUAUAAUCUAUUAGGGUGGUACCGCGGAUAUAACCUUCGUCCCUUUU